rnacentral:misc_RNA from 1 species
GAAAUGCGAUAAGUAGUGUGAAUUGCAGAAUUUAGCGAAUCAUCGAAUCUUUGAACGCACAUUGCGCCCCUUGGUAUUCCAUGGGGCAUGCCUGUUCGAGCGUCAUUUCAACCCUCAAGCACUGCUUGGUGUUGGGCGUUUGUCCCGCCUACGCGCGUGGACUCGCCUCAAAGUCAUUGGCGGCUGUUCCCCUUCGGCUCGUAAGCGCAGCACAGUCGGCGCCCGGAGCUCUGGUGGGAUGGCGUCCAGCAAGCUAUAUUUUUAGGCUUGACCUCGGAUCAGGUAGGGAUACCCGCUGAACUUAAGC